rnacentral:lncRNA from 1 species
GAGCCUUCCCCUUUGUUUCCCUCAGUGAUGCUAGGGUCUUGAAACUCAGCCCAGUACAAUCAUUGGUGUUUGAGCUGGCAACUGGGGGUCUAAUUGCCAGCCGAGAUGGAUAUCUCUGACUCUGGAGAUACAGCUGGGAUAGGACAUUGUUGCUUCUCUGCGGCAGGCAGCUCUUGAUGCAAAUGCCGAGUUUGUACCAAUAGGAUUUAAACCUUGGUGGCUGACUCCAGCAUGCACUCUCUGCACUGUUCUACUCCCUCUUGCCACCACUCUGGUGACAUUUGUGUGGAGACAGGGUAUCUCUGUGCAGUCCUGGCUGUCCUGGAACUCACUUUGUAGACCAGGCUGGCUUAACGUUGAUGAAGACACCCAAAAGCUCAAAGAAGAUGGAACACCGGAGUGCCUUUGCCAUCAAACUUAUUCAUGCACUGUGUCAAUGCUACAGCUGACGUGGUUGGUGGAAAUCCUACGGACAAGAGCAAAGACAGCACAUUGUCCACAAGAGUCCAUGGCAGUGUGCUCCUGAACAUGCCACUAAAGCAAACCACACGUCGUGGCCAGCUUUCCCUCCCUUAGAGGAUGCUGUGUAUAAUAAACAGCAUCCAGACUGAGAAACUACAAGGAACAGCAAGGCUUUUUGUUCCCAAUUACAUUCAGAGGAAGCCUCACCAUGUCUAUGGAUACCCAGCAGGCUCUUCACCUGUGGCUCAAACCUCAAUCAGCUUUAGGGCAGCUACAAAGAGACAGUCCCUCUGCCACACCUCAUGGAAGUUGUCUGCCUGUCCAGCUGAACACGGAUUUGUUUUGAAAUGACACAGAGAGUUACAUAAAGAAACACUUGUUCUGACAAGAAAAGACUUGAGGAGAUAAGAACCUUCCUGGUCUUGGUUGUCCAGAUCUCUUCCCACAGCAUCCUGUCUCCCUGAGGAAAUGAGUGGCAUUUACAGUAUUCUGCUACCAUGCUCAACAGAUUCUUGGAUGUACAGUGCUCACCUCUUUUCUCAGAACCUUCUCCAGUGAAUGCCACCUUUGUCUUGCAGAGCAGCUGAAGUCAGAGAUGAAACAGACUCUUUUAUAGGGGCUCACUGCUCACUUUAAGCCCAGGGCUUCUGGCAAAAGUGUGACGUACUUGUUCUUGGAGACCAGAGAUGGCAGACUCCAAAUCAUGUCGUCUUCAAUUGCAAUGGGGAACAAUUUGGCUUCAAAAAAUUUUUCCAACAUACGUGAACUCUGAAGAAAUUUCUGGAGAGCUCAACAGCAGUGCUUUUCUCUAGAGAUGAUCUUCCUUUAUAGCUUGGUCAUGGGAGGUUCAGAAGGGAACCUCUUGGACAUGGUACUAUCAACGGACACGAUAGGUCCACUCUGGUUUGGAAACCCACUGUUUUCUUCCUGGUGCUAGCUUUUGCUAAUCCAGAGAACCGAACUUCCCAGACAUAAGGUGGCAGGGGAGCCUGAUGGACAGCUCCUGGCCGAAGCAGCUCCUGUCUUGUGUCAGACGUCUGCAGCAGACAUGGAGGAGUCCUAGCUGAGCAGCCCAAGAAGAUGAGCAGAAGACAGGGGUGUGCAGGUCUCCCACAGUGCCCCCUUGACACAUAUGCUACCUGGGGGGGGGGGGGUUCCCCAUGUUGUCUCACAGAUUUUCACAAAAUACGUGUCCAUAUUCCAGGAAGGUUAAGGCUGGAAACUACUGCACACGUUGCUUCCUAGCUGCCUGGAGAAUGUCCUGCUAGUCACUGUGACAUGUCUUUUCCGGGAGAAAUGAGAAACCUUUUUUGUAAGAACGGGCAUCAUGGAAGAAGAAGAACUUGACAUUUCCAUGGACAAGAAUUCAUUACAUCACUGCUCCGUUGACAGACAGGGCUGUAAGCCCUGGGGUACACAGAGCCUCAGGCUAGCAGCCAGCUCACCAACUCUCAUGCUUUCUUUCUCUGUUUCUCCACAAAAUGAAGACACAAAAAGAACUUAGUUUCAUGGAAAUGGCAUGAAAUGAAAAGUCAGGCUUCAUUUGGCACUUUGUUUGGGUCCCCAAAUAACAAAAUAACUACUUAAGAAAU